AGAUGAGGAAGGGAAAAAUAAGAGAGCGAAAGCACCAGGACUGAAAGUUGCCAGGGUCGGGAUUAGAACCAGCAGACUGGAGGGGAGCUGGGUUUACUUGAGGUUAAUUGAUGUUAAUUGAUUAAAGGACAACACCCAAUGUCAGCAGAAGCUGGCACAGAAGCUGGGGCCAGAGUCAGAGCUGCAGGGGAGCCAAAAGAGAUGAGUCAGUACUCUUCCUGAAUGAGAUAAGUUGGCUUCAUGGAUCAGGAACAAUCAGAUUUUUGCUUAAAGGAAGAAAAUAAGCAUCUAGAUUCUGCUCCAAACUGUGCCUGGUACAAAUCAGACUGAAGAACAAAUCUGCUAAGGGAAUGACACAUUCUGAUCUACAAUGUGCAAGCCUAGAGGGGUUUGUUCGCACAAGCUCACAAGUGACUCAACCAGCAUGAAAGGCACAAACAUCUUUUCUGAUUUUAAAAAGCUUCCAUCCACCCUACUCUCAGCUGACUUGCAACAUCAAGCACAAGAGUGGAUCAUUUCAUCCUUAUUUUAUCACAUUUCAAGUGGGGGGGAAAAAAACAUUUCACCUGAACCCAUUUUGCACAUUGUGUCCACAAUAUAUUCUACAACCAUUUCUGUCGUGAUGUUAAUAAUUUUGUUUUGUAUGUAUGGACUUGGGCAAAUUGUAUAAACAAUUUUUCCUUGCCUUGGAUCUUUCUGCAAGGCAAAUUUAAAUAAUUUCAAGCACAGCUCACCAGAUGAAUGGUUGGGUCUGGUUUCUCAAAACCUCCCUGAAAACUAAGCUCAUUAACUGUAAGAAACUGAAUCAGCUCUGCUACACAUUUGAUGUAGCACCUGUUCUUUUUUUAAUUGAAUUUAAUUUAAUAGAAAUGAUCCAAUCAUUUUUCCACCUCCUGUUCACCCUUUUGCUUCUUCCUAUAAAGCUACA